rnacentral:tRNA from 1 species
GGCGCCAUCGUCUAGUUGGUUUAGGACAUCGCCCUCUCAAGGCGAAGAUCACGGGUUCGAAUCCCGUUGGCGCUA